rnacentral:lncRNA from 1 species
UUUACUGAUUUUCUUUUUAUUUCAGGUCUACAUGUUUCGACACAAACGCUUCAGUUAAAGCUUAAAGCAUCGGAAGAAUCGCUUAUUCGUAUUCGAAAUCAGUAUCUUGCUCUACACGCCAAAUUGAAAGAGAAAGAUGAAACAAGUGAGCGCAAUAGGAUUUAUACUGUUUCCCUUGUACUCUCAUCUUUAAUUUAAUUUGAGUAAAAUAAUAUAUGUUUGUUAUAAAUGUUGAUGAUCUUUUAUAUGCUUAUAUUAAAAUUUUAUUUGGUAGAUUGUAUAAGAAUAGUGUUGAACAAGGGUGGGGUAUUAGUAAAGCUGAGAUUAGUUAUUCUGAAUUUUAUCUGUUAUCCACUAUUUGAUUUAGUUAUCGUUUGGUACAAGGAAUAAAGGACUAAACCCGAGAUUAGCUUUAGAAUGGGCUCAUCCCAUGUUUGAUUGGAUAAAAUGCAUGGAUAACUUAUCCUAGGAAGAGAUAUCUCGGGAUUGUAGUGUCAUUUUAUCCCAUCUUGAGAUUGGAAUAACUAAUUCGGAGAUAAUUUAUUGCCCCGCCAAACGACCCCUUAGUGUAUUAAGGACAUUUCUAUCUUUAUUCAUGGUCAUCUACGUACUUCCUUUGUUUUAUACUACUUGGCUCUAUUGACUUGGCAAAUACUUUAAGAAAAUAUUAAUUAGAAAGACACUACAUCCUUUAUUCAAAUUCUGGCUUUGCCUCAGCCUACAACCCGCUAUACCCUCUACACCGAUUUAAUUCACAGGUGUAUCUAUGAUUUUAGUCCAUAGGUGCAGACUACUGUCUGAGUAUAUGUCGAUCAACGCAAGGAGAUUUGUUGUAUUGCCACUGCCGUCAAUAGAGUGUAUCUAUCACGAAAUUUGCUUAGCAUUAAUUUCAUGACUGUAACUUUUGGAUGCUUUGUGGUUCUGAGAUGGUUAG